UGGGGAAUUUUGGACAAUGGGCGAAAGCCUGAUCCAGCAAUGCCGCGUGUGUGAAGAAGGCCUUCGGGUUGUAAAGCACUUUUGUCCAGAAAGAAAUCCUUGGCUCUAAUACAGUCGGGGGAUGACGGUACCGGAAGAAUAAGCACCGGCUAACUACGUGCCAGCAGCCGCGGUAAUACGUAGGGUGCAAGCGUUAAUCGGAAUUACUGGGCGUAAAGCGUGCGCAGGCGGUUUGCUAAGACCGAUGUGAAAUCCCCGGGCUCAACCUGGGAACUGCAUUGGUGACUGGCAGGCUAGAGUAUGGCAGAGGGGGGUAGAAUUCCACGUGUAGCAGUGAAAUGCGUAGAGAUGUGGAGGAAUACCGAUGGCGAAGGCAGCCCCCUGGGCCAAUACUGACGCUCAUGCACGAAAGCGUGGGGAGCAAACAGGAUUAGAUACCCUGGUAGUCCACGCCCUAAACGAUGUCAACUAGUUGUUGGGGAUUCAUUUUCCUUAGUAACGUAGCUAACGCGUGAAGUUGACCGCCUGGGGAGUACGGUCGCAAGAUUAAAACUC
rnacentral:rRNA from 1 species